AAUGAAAAAAGUGAAAGCGAGAAAGAACACGGAAGUUUUGUUAAGUAACAUAUAUGUUUUAUUUUGUUUACACUAUCCAUUUUGUUUACACUGUCCAUUUUGUUUACAA
rnacentral:ribozyme from 14 species